rnacentral:lncRNA from 1 species
GAGAAGGCGAAGAUUAUGAUUAUGUGGGCAACCUUCCCAAGAGCAGCUAUGUCAACAGUUGCAAGAAUGAUGGUUUCACAAAGAAAGGAAUGUCUUCUUAACCCUGGUCAAGAAAGAAUUCAGCUUUCUUCUACUGGAUUAUGCAUUGCAGUGUAAAAUUGCUGGUCCUGAUCUGUUGGCUUUAAAACAGGUGUGACGAUAAAUCAGCGGAGGCGGAGAGAAGAAGGCUGUCCCGGGGAAAUGCAUUCGGAAGCAGUGAAGUCAUGCAUGCUCUGUGAAAGUGGAGACGCCCCUGGUCUUUCUGCAGCCUGAGAAAUGGCAUCGCCCCUCUUUCCUUGGCACCAGAGGCUAUCCAUGAUGAUGUU